rnacentral:lncRNA from 1 species
AUGAGAUGAUUUUUGUUCAUAAAAUUGAUAAGAUGACGACAUAUGUAGCUGAUCAUACAAGAAUAGCUUUUCAAAUUGCCGCAUCAUUUUUUUUUAUAGGUUGUAUUUUUUGAUUCAUAUGGAUACAUUUUUAGUAGAUUAAUAUAUCUGAUUAUAUAUAUAUAUAUAAAAGAAAAAAGAAAAAAAGACAGGCUGUUCUUCGUGGCUCUUCUAGGCUCUUCUCGUCGUCUGCCAAGCCUAAUAAACAGAGGUAGGGACUGGUGACUGGCCCGUUUCCAGGCAUCGUUACCAUCCUAAAGAGAAUCUAUAGCAAGGUAGCAAGGUGUCUAUCAAUCUCUAGAGGUCGCAUGAAGACGAGGCAAGCCGUGGACCUCACAUGAAAUUUUAUGUACCAACUUGAAGCAUUAAUCUAA